UACGGGGGGAGCAAGCGUUGUUCGGAAUUACUGGGCGUAAAGGGCUCGUAGGCGGCCAACUAAGUCGGACGUGAAAUCCCUCGGCUUAACCGGGGAACUGCGUCUGAUACUGGAUGGCUUGAGAUUGGGAGAGGGAUGCGGAAUUCCAGGUGUAGCGGUGAAAUGCGUAGAUAUCUGGAGGAACACCGGUGGCGAAGGCGGCAUCCUGGACCAACACUGACGCUGAGGAGCGAAAGCCAGGGGAGCAAACGGG
rnacentral:rRNA from 1 species